rnacentral:rRNA from 1 species
GUGAGGAAUUUUCCGCAAUGGGCGAAAGCCUGACGGAGCAAUGCCGCGUGAGUGAUGAAGGCCUUCGGGUUGUAAAGCUCUUUAGCCGAUGAUUAUAAUGACUGUAGUCGGAAAAUAAGCCCCGGCUAACUUCGUGCCAGCAGCCGCGGUAAUACGAAGGGGGCGAGCGUUAUUCGGAAUCACUGGGCGUAAAGCGUGCGUAGGCGGCUUUGCAAGUUGGGAGUGAUAGCCAAGGGCCCAACCCUGGAAUUGCUCUCAAAACUGCAAGGCUGUAAUUCGGGAGAGGAUAGCGGAAUGGUCAGGGUAGCAGGGAAAUGCUUAGAUAUUGACAGGAACACCAGUGGCGUAAGCGGCUAUCUAGACCGAUAUUGACGCUGAGGCACGAAAGCGUGGGGAUCAAACAGGAUUAGAAACCCAGGUAGUCC